GUAAAUUUUUUAUCAUACACUCUGUUGAAUUUUCCAUGCGUGUUUGUUUUCACGCUGUCUGAAAAAUAGAAAAAUAAAAAACGUCGCGAGUUCGUUAUUUCUGCUCCUGCUAGUUUAUAGUCGUUUUUUCAUUGAAAUGAAAAACUUACCAUGUUAUUAGAACCGGAUCCGGAAGUGCUGCAUGAAAACAGCUGCCGUUUUUGCUUCGGUCGGAACGGUGAUAAGCGGAAGAACCGGGACGGAAUGAUGAUGAUGCCGCGCAGCUUAGAUUGCAACUUAUCAAACCAGUGUCCCGAGUGAUAACAAGUUAUUCGUGAUCAAUCGUAAUUCCAUAGGUUUUAAUUAAAACAAAGUUUUUCCACACUUAUUUACUUGUUUCAUUGCCUCUUCUAAGAAAUAUCCCCGUUCUUUUUUAAAUGGUAUAAAUGUAAUAGAA